UACGGAGGGUGCAAGCGUUAAUCGGAAUUACUGGGCGUAAAGCGUGCGUAGGCGGUUUAUUAAGUCAGAUGUGAAAGCCCCGGGCUUAACCUGGGAACUGCAUUUGAAACUGGUAAACUAGAGUACGAUAGAGGGGGGUAGAAUUCAGAGUGUAGCGGUGAAAUGCGUAGAUAUUCUGAGGAAUACCGGUGGCGAAGGCGGCCCCCUGGACAGAUACUGACACUCAGAUGCGAAAGCGUGGGGAGCAAACAGG
rnacentral:rRNA from 1 species